rnacentral:rRNA from 1 species
UAAGCGACUAAGCGUACACGGUGGAUGCCCUGGCAGUCAGAGGCGAUGAAGGACGUGCUAAUCUGCGAUAAGCGUCGGUAAGGUGAUAUGAACCGUUAUAACCGGCGAUUUCCGAAUGGGGAAACCCAGUGUGUUUCGACACACUAUCAUUAACUGAAUCCAUAGGUUAAUGAGGCGAACCGGGGGAACUGAAACAUCUAAGUACCCCGAGGAAAAGAAAUCAACCGAGAUUCCCCCAGUAGCGGCGAGCGAACGGGGAGCAGCCCAGAGCCUGAAUCAGUGUGUGUGUUAGUGGAAGCGUCUGGAAAGGCGCGCGAUACAGGGUGACAGCCCCGUACACAAAAAUGCACAUGCUGUGAGCUCGAUGAGUAGGGCGGGACACGUGGUAUCCUGUCUGAAUAUGGGGGGACCAUCCUCCAAGGCUAAAAUACUCCUGACUGACCGAUAGUGAACCAGUACCGUGAGGGAAAGGCGAAAAGACCCCGGCGAGGGGAGUGAAAAAGACCUGAAACCGUGUACGUACAAGCAGUGGGAGCACGCUUAGGCGUGUGACUGCGUACCUUUUGUAUAAUGGGUCAGCGACUUAUAUUCUGUAGCAAGGUUAACCGAAUAGGGGAGCCGAAGGGAAACCGAGUCUUAACUGGGCGUUAAGUUGCAGGGUAUAGACCCGAAACCCGGUGAUCUAGCCAUGGGCAGGUUGAAGGUUGGGUAACACUAACUGGAGGACCGAACCGACUAAUGUUGAAAAAUUAGCGGAUGACUUGUGGCUGGGGGUGAAAGGCCAAUCAAACCGGGAGAUAGCUGGUUCUCCCCGAAAGCUAUUUAGGUAGCGCCUCGUGAAUUCAUCUCCGGGGGUAGAGCACUGUUUCGGCAAGGGGGUCAUCCCGACUUACCAACCCGAUGCAAACUGCGAAUACCGGAGAAUGUUAUCACGGGAGACACACGGCGGGUGCUAACGUCCGUCGUGAAGAGGGAAACAACCCAGACCGCCAGCUAAGGUCCCAAAGUCAUGGUUAAGUGGGAAACGAUGUGGGAAGGCCCAGACAGCCAGGAUGUUGGCUUAGAAGCAGCCAUCAUUUUAAAGAAAGCGUAAUAGCUCACUGGUCGAGUCGGCCUGCGCGGAAGAUGUAACGGGGCUAAACCAUGCACCGAAGCUGCGGCAGCGACGCUUAUGCGUUGUUGGGUAGGGGAGCGUUCUGUAAGCCUGCGAAGGUGUGCUGUGAGGCAUGCUGGAGGUAUCAGAAGUGCGAAUGCUGACAUAAGUAACGAUAAAGCGGGUGAAAAGCCCGCUCGCCGGAAGACCAAGGGUUCCUGUCCAACGUUAAUCGGGGCAGGGUGAGUCGACCCCUAAGGCGAGGCCGAAAGGCGUAGUCGAUGGGAAACAGGUUAAUAUUCCUGUACUUGGUGUUACUGCGAAGGGGGGACGGAGAAGGCUAUGUUGGCCGGGCGACGGUUGUCCCGGUUUAAGCGUGUAGGCUGGUUUUCCAGGCAAAUCCGGAAAAUCAAGGCUGAGGCGUGAUGACGAGGCACUACGGUGCUGAAGCAACAAAUGCCCUGCUUCCAGGAAAAGCCUCUAAGCAUCAGGUAACAUCAAAUCGUACCCCAAACCGACACAGGUGGUCAGGUAGAGAAUACCAAGGCGCUUGAGAGAACUCGGGUGAAGGAACUAGGCAAAAUGGUGCCGUAACUUCGGGAGAAGGCACGCUGAUAUGUAGGUGAAGUCCCUCGCGGAUGGAGCUGAAAUCAGUCGAAGAUACCAGCUGGCUGCAACUGUUUAUUAAAAACACAGCACUGUGCAAACACGAAAGUGGACGUAUACGGUGUGACGCCUGCCCGGUGCCGGAAGGUUAAUUGAUGGGGUCAGCGCAAGCGAAGCUCUUGAUCGAAGCCCCGGUAAACGGCGGCCGUAACUAUAACGGUCCUAAGGUAGCGAAAUUCCUUGUCGGGUAAGUUCCGACCUGCACGAAUGGCGUAAUGAUGGCCAGGCUGUCUCCACCCGAGACUCAGUGAAAUUGAACUCGCUGUGAAGAUGCAGUGUACCCGCGGCAAGACGGAAAGACCCCGUGAACCUUUACUAUAGCUUGACACUGAACAUUGAGCCUUGAUGUGUAGGAUAGGUGGGAGGCUUUGAAGUGUGGACGCCAGUCUGCAUGGAGCCGGCCUUGAAAUACCACCCUUUAAUGUUUGAUGUUCUAACGUUGACCCGUGAUCCGGGUUGCGGACAGUGUCUGGUGGGUAGUUUGACUGGGGCGGUCUCCUCCUAAAGAGUAACGGAGGAGCACGAAGGUUGGCUAAUCCUGGUCGGACAUCAGGAGGUUAGUGCAAUGGCAUAAGCCAGCUUGACUGCGAGCGUGACGGCGCGAGCAGGUGCGAAAGCAGGUCAUAGUGAUCCGGUGGUUCUGAAUGGAAGGGCCAUCGCUCAACGGAUAAAAGGUACUCCGGGGAUAACAGGCUGAUACCGCCCAAGAGUUCAUAUCGACGGCGGUGUUUGGCACCUCGAUGUCGGCUCAUCACAUCCUGGGGCUGAAGUAGGUCCCAAGGGUAUGGCUGUUCGCCAUUUAAAGUGGUACGCGAGCUGGGUUUAGAACGUCGUGAGACAGUUCGGUCCCUAUCUGCCGUGGGCGCUGGAGAACUGAGGGGGGCUGCUCCUAGUACGAGAGGACCGGAGUGGACGCAUCACUGGUGUUCGGGUUGUCAUGCCAAUGGCACUGCCCGGUAGCUAAAUGCGGAAGAGAUAAGUGCUGAAAGCAUCUAAGCACGAAACUUGCCCCGAGAUGAGUUCUCCCUGACUCCUUGAGAGUCCUGAAGGAACGUUGAAGACGACGACGUUGAUAGGCCGGGUGUGUAAGCGCAGCGAUGCGUUGAGCUAACCGGUACUAAUGAACCGUGAGGCUUAACCU